UGGUGGGACAUCAUGGGCUGGGAAAAUAAGCACAGUCAUAGGAACUUAUCAGGGUGUGACGGCUUGGCCAGUGAAGCCAAUCCCCCUUAUCUAAAUAAUAAAUGUACAGUCUUCGGAGCAACUAGGACAACAUCUAUCAGAUCAAAGAUGAAAAUCCUUCAGGCCUAA
rnacentral:lncRNA from 1 species